rnacentral:rRNA from 1 species
GUCGAACGAAACUUCUUUAUCACCGAGUGCUUGCACUCACCGAUAAAGAGUUGAGUGGCGAACGGGUGAGUAACACGUGGGCAACCUGCCCAAAAGAGGGGGAUAACACUUGGAAACAGGUGCUAAUACCGCAUAACCAUAGUUACCGCAUGGUAACUAUGUAAAAGGUGGCUAUGCUACCGCUUUUGGAUGGGCCCGCGGCGCAUUAGCUAGUUGGUGGGGUAAAGGCUUACCAAGGCGAUGAUGCGUAGCCGAACUGAGAGGUUGAUCGGCCACAUUGGGACUGAGAUACGGCCCAAACUCCUACGGGAGGCAGCAGUAGGGAAUCUUCCACAAUGGGCGAAAGCCUGAUGGAGCAACGCCGCGUGGGUGAAGAAGGUCUUCGGAUCGUAAAACCCUGUUGUUAGAGAAGAAAGUGCGUGAGAGUAACUGUUCACGUUUCGACGGUAUCUAACCAGAAAGCCACGGCUAACUACGUGCCAGCAGCCGCGGUAAUACGUAGGUGGCAAGCGUUAUCCGGAUUUAUUGGGCGUAAAGGGAACGCAGGCGGUCUUUUAAGUCUGAUGUGAAAGCCUUCGGCUUAACCGGAGUAGUGCAUUGGAAACUGGGAGACUUGAGUGCAGAAGAGGAGAGUGGAACUCCAUGUGUAGCGGUGAAAUGCGUAGAUAUAUGGAAGAACACCAGUGGCGAAAGCGGCUCUCUGGUCUGUAACUGA